UACGUAGGGUGCAAGCGUUGUCCGGAAUUAUUGGGCGUAAAGAGCUCGUAGGCGGUUUGUCGCGUCGAAUGUGAAAUCCCGGGGCUCAACCCCGGGUCUGCAUUCGAUACGGGCAGACUAGAGUUCGGUAGGGGAGACGUGGAAUUCCUGGUGUAGCGGUGAAAUGCGCAGAUAUCAGGAGGAACACCGGUGGCGAAGGCGGGUCUCUGGGCCGAAACUGACGCUGAGGAGCGAAAGCGUGGGGAGCGAACAGG
rnacentral:rRNA from 1 species